rnacentral:rRNA from 1 species
AGAGCGAACGCUGGCGGCAGGCUUAACACAUGCAAGUCGAGCGGGCGUAGCAAUACGUCAGCGGCAGACGGGUGAGUAACGCGUGGGAACGUACCUUUGGUUCGGAACAACACAGGGAAACUUGUGCUAAUACCGGAUAAGCCCUUACGGGGAAAGAUUUAUCGCCGAAAGAUCGGCCCGCGUCUGAUUAGCUAGUUGGUGAGGUAACGGCUCACCAAGGCGACGAUCAGUAGCUGGUCUGAGAGGAUGAUCAGCCACAUUGGGACUGAGACACGGCCCAAACUCCUACGGGAGGCAGCAGUGGGAAUAUUGGACAAUGGGCGAAAGCCUGAUCCAGCCAUGCCGCGUGAGUGAUGAAGGCCCUAGGGUUGUAAAGCUCUUUUGUGCGGGAAGAUAAUGACGGUACCGCAAGAAUAAGCCCGGCUAACUUCGUGCCAGCAGCCGC